rnacentral:rRNA from 1 species
GACGAACGCUGGCGGCGUGCUUAACACAUGCAAGUCGAACGGUGAAGCGCUUGCCUUUUUGGUGGGUGUGGAUGAGUGGCGAACGGGUGAGUAACACGUGAGUAACCUGCCCUCUUCUUCUGGAUAACCUCAUGAAAGUGGGGCUAAUACGGGGUAUUCCGGGUCUGUCGCAUGGCGGGUUUGGGAAAGAUUGCGCCUUUGGGUGUUUUCGGUGAGGGAUGGGCUCGCGGCCUAUCAGCUUGUUGGUGGGGUGAUGGCCUACCAAGGCGGUGACGGGUAGACGGCCUGAGAGGGUGGACGGCCACACUGGGACUGAGACACGGCCCAGACUCCUGCGGGAGGCAGCAGUGGGGAAUAUUGCACAAUGGGCGCAAGCCUGAUGCAGCGACGCCGCGUGAGGGAUGGAGGCCUUCGGGUUGUGAACCUCUUUCGCCAGUGAAGCAGGCCUGCUCCUGUGUGGGUGGGUUGACGGUAGCUGGAUAAGAAGCGCCGGCUAACUACGUG